rnacentral:rRNA from 1 species
GACGAACGCUGGCGGCGUGCUUAACACAUGCAAGUCGAACAGUGGCGAACGGGUGAGUAACACGUGAGUAACCUGCCCUCCACUUUGGGAUAACUCCGAGAAAUCGGGGCUAAUACUGGAUAGUGGGGGAUGGGCUCGCGGCCUAUGAGUUUGUGGGGGAGGUAGUGGUCACCAAGGGGUGACGGGUAGCCGGCCUGGGAGGGGGACCGUCCACACUGGGACUGCGAGACGGCCCAGAAGCCUACGGGAGGCAGCAGUGGGAAAUAUGGCAGAAUGGGCGAAAGCGUGAUGCAGAGACGCCGCGUGGGGGAUGACGGCCUUCGGGUUGUAAACCUCUUUCAGCAAGGAAGCGGUACUUGCAGAGGAAGCGCCGGCUAACUACGUGCCAGCAGCCGCGGUAAUAC